rnacentral:miRNA from 15 species
ACAGAUUCGUAUCUCUGGGUAAC